AUGAACGCUGGCGGCGUGCCUAAUACAUGCAAGUCGAGCGAACAGACGAGGAGCUUGCUCCUCUGACGUUAGCGGCGGACGGGUGAGUAACACGUGGAUAACCUACCUAUAAGACUGGGAUAACUUCGGGAAACCGGAUCUAAUACCGGAUAAUAUAUUGAACCGCAUGGUUCAAUAGUGUAAGACGGUUUUGCUCUCACUUAUAGAUGGAUCCGCGCCGCAUUAGCUAGUUGGUAAGGUAACGGCUUACCAAGGCAACGAUGCGUAGCCGACCUGAGAGGGUGAUCGGCCACACUGGAACUGAGACACGGUCCAGACUCCUACGGGAGGCAGCAGUAGGGAAUCUUGCGCAAUGGGCGAAAGCCUGACGGAGCAACGCCGCGUGAGUGAUGAAGGUCUUCGGAUCGUAAAACUCUGUUAUUAGGGAAGAAAAAAUGUGUAAGUAACUAUGCACGUCUUGACGGUACCUAAUGAGAAAGCCACGGCUAACUACGUG
rnacentral:rRNA from 1 species